rnacentral:rRNA from 1 species
UACGUAGGGCGCAAGCGUUGUCCGGAAUUAUUGGGCGUAAAGAGCUCGUAGGCGGCUUGUCACGUCGGGUGUGAAAGCCCGGGGCUUAACCCCGGGUCUGCAUUCGAUACGGGCUAGCUAGAGUGUGGUAGGGGAGAUCGGAAUUCCUGGUGUAGCGGUCGAAAUGCGCAGAUAUCAGGAGGAACACCGGUGGCGAAGGCGGAUCUCUGGGCCAUUACUGACGCUGAGGAGCGAAAGCGUGGGGAGCGAACAGG